GUGUUGGUAGUGCAACGGUUCAGCACGCAUUAUCGGAAAGAGUAAGAUCUGGGUUCGAGUCCCAGCUAACGCA